rnacentral:rRNA from 1 species
AUUUUGGACAAUGGGCGAAAGCCUGAUCCAGCAAUGCCGCGUGUGUGAAGAAGGCCUUCGGGUUGUAAAGCACUUUUGUCCGGAAAGAAAUCCUUGGCUCUAAUACAGUCGGGGGAUGACGGUACCGGCAGAAUAAGCACCGGCUAACUACGUGCCAGCAGCCGCGGUAAUACGUAGGGUGCAAGCGUUAAUCGGAAUUACUGGGCGUAAAGCGUGCGGAGGCGGUUUGCUAAGACCGAUGUGAAAUCCCCGGGCUCAACCUGGGAACUGCAUUGGUGACUGGCAGGGUAGAGUAUGGCAGAGGGGGGUAGAAUUCCACGUGUAGCAGUGAAAUGCGUAGAGAUGUGGAGGAAUACCGAUGGCGAAGGCAGCCCCCUGGGCCAAUACUGACGCUCAUGCACGAAAGCGUGGGGAGCAAAC